rnacentral:rRNA from 1 species
UAUGUGAUCGUCUCUCGCAUAUCAAUAAGCGGAGGAAAAGAAACUAACAAGGAUUCCCCUAGUAACGGCGAGUGAAGCGGGAAGAGCUCAAAUUUGAAAUCUUAUAGGGUUUCCCUUUACGAAUUGUAGUUUAAAGAAGUGUUUUCUGUUGAGGUUUUGGUAAAAGUUCUUUGGAAUAGGACAUCAUAGAGGGUGAGAAUCCCGUAUUUGACCUUUACUUUCAACUUUGUGAUACACUUUCAAAGAGUCGGAUUGUUUGGGAAUGCAGUCCAAAAUGGGUGGUAAAUUUCAUCUAAAGCUAAAUAUUGGCGAGAGACCGAUAGCGAACAAGUACCGUGAGGGAAAGAUGAAAAGAACUUUGAAAAGAGAGUUAAACAGUACGUGAAAUUGUCAAAAGGGAAGCGUUUGACACCAGUGUUGUUUUUCUGAAAAUCAAUUAAAGAACUGUUUAUGCUAAGUUGUUUAGACUUUAUCAGCUAAUCUGUUUAGUUUUGAGCUUUUCUUUAAUGCACUUUUCAGUUAACAAGUCAACAUCAAUUUCUUUUGCUGUAAAAAAGCUUGAGGAAGGUGGCUUGAGAUUCGUCUUAAGUGUUUAUAGCCUCUUGCCUAUGCAGUCGGAGAGAUUGAGGUCUGCAGCGUAGAUCCUUCGGGGCUAAAUGCAUUUGUGCUAAGUUAUAGCAUUUUAUAGACAACUUGUUGACUAUGAUUUGUCUUGUAGCUUACUCGCUUAUGUUAUUUUACCUACGCUUAGGAUGUUGAACGCGCAAGAGUCUC